UCCAGGUGGUCGCCUUCGCCACUGGUGUUCCUUCCUAUAUCUACGCAUUUCACCGCUACACAGGAAAUUCCACCACCCUCUACCGUACUCUAGCUUGCCAGUUUUGGAUGCAGUUCCCAGGUUGAGCCCGGGGCUUUCACAUCCAACUUAACAAACCACCUACGCGCGCUUUACGCCCAGUAAUUCCGAUUAACGCUUGCACCCUCUGUAUUACCGCGGCUGCUGGCACAGAGUUAGCCGGUGCUUAUUCUGUCGGUAACGUCAAAACAGCAAGGUAUUAACUUACUGCCCUUCCUCCCAACUUAAAGUGCUUUACAAUCCGAAGACCUUCUUCACACACGCGGCAUGGCUGGAUCAGGCUUUCGCCCAUUGUCCAAUAUUCCCCACUGCUGCCUCCCGUAGGAGUCUGGACCGUGUCUCAGUUCCAGUGUGACUGAUCAUCCUCUCAGACCAGUUACGGAUCGUCGCCUUGGUGAGCCAUUACCCCACCAACUAGCUAAUCCGACCUAGGCUCAUCUGAUAGCGCAAGGCCCGAAGGUCCCCUGCUUUCUCCCGUAGGACGUAUGCGGUAUUAGCGUUCCUUUCGAAACGUUGUCCCCCACUACCAGGCAGAUUCCUAGGCAUUACUCACCCGUCCGCCGCUGAAUCAAGGAGCAAGCUCCCGUCAUCCGCUCGACUUGCAUGUGUUAGGCCUGCCGC
rnacentral:rRNA from 1 species